rnacentral:lncRNA from 1 species
AGUGCCAGUUCCUGAACUGGUUCUAGUUGCCUCAAUUACUACAUUUUUUGCCCGAGCAGUUAAUGGGGACGGACUGUAAAUUCGUUGACGAUAUGUCUACGUCGGGCAUCUACCAUUAUACCCAAAAUGAUUGGCCAUACAAUCGGCUUGAAAGCACCUCUCUUUUUGAAGUUGGUAGAUUGCUUUGAUACACCUCCGGAC